AUUGAACGCUGGAGGUAUGCUUAACACAUGCAAGUCGAACGCGAACGUUACUUCGGUAACAAGUAGAGUGGCGGACGGGUGAGUAACGCGUAGGAAUCUACCUAAGUGUGGGGGAUAACAUGGAGAAAUUCAUGCUAAUACCGCAUACGCCCUGCGGGGUAAAGAGGGCCUCUUCUUGAAAGCUCUUGCAUUUAGAUGAGCCUGCGUCGGAUUAGCUUGUUGGUGAGGUAAUGGCUCACCAAGGCGACGAUCCGUAGCUGGUCUGAGAGGAUGAUCAGCCACACUGGGACUGAGACACGGCCCAGACUCCUACGGGAGGCAGCAGUGGGGAAUAUUGGACAAUGGAGGCAACUCUGAUCCAGCAAUACCUCGUGUGUGAAGAAGGCCCUAGGGUUGUAAAGCACUUUCAAUUGGGACGAAGAUUGUGUACUUAAUACGUGCAUAAUUUGACGGUACCUUUAGAAGAAGCACCGGCUAACUCCG
rnacentral:rRNA from 1 species